UACGUAGGGGGCGAGCGUUGUCCGAAGUUACUGGGCGUAAAGCGCGCGUAGGCGGCUUUUUAAGUCUGGGGUGAAAGGUUCUGCGCUUAACGGUGAACAGUGCCCUGGAGACUGGAAGGCUUGAGUGUGGGAGGGGCAGUGGAAUUCCUGGUGUAGCGGUGAAAUGCGUAGAUAUCAGGAGGAACACCCGAUGGCGAAGGCAGCUGCCUG
rnacentral:rRNA from 1 species